rnacentral:lncRNA from 1 species
GCUAACCCACCUUGGAUUGGCUUUGCCAAAUGCAUUGUUUUAUAGACAUCAAAAUGGGAGGGUCUUCUCAUCGACUUGCAAAGAGGCUACUGCCUCUCCUCUCCCUUUCACGAUUCGACCACCAUUCAGCAAAAAUGAGGUGGCAAACAACUUCUCCGGCCAUUAUAAGUUUAUAGCCAGUCAUGAUUCAGUCAACCAAGCUUCCAUUUUCGAGAACUGAAGCUUUAAAGGAAUUUGUAGUUUUGUCAUUUUAGCUUUUUUGGUUGAGUUUAGCAACUCCGAACUCUAUAGUGAUAAUGAUAAGCUUGGGAUCACCAUCUUUAGCGGUUUUAAGCUUUUCAUUUUCGAAAAUUCACUUGAAUUUCUCUUGCUCACUGAUGUCGGAUCUUCUUCUCUUUUUUCCUUUUUUUUUUUUUAUAAUAUUCGUUAUGUCUCUGACUCUCCUUGUUUAUACAUUCCACUGAUUUUUAUUGGGUUUCUUGUGAAUUUUUAUUUGUAGUUUAAGUAUGUCCAUUGGCUUGUUUUAGCUUGUAGGUGGGUUUUCUUUCCACCGAUGAUUGAGGUUUUUUUCUUAGUUAAUUUUUUUAUCCUUUUCGCUUUUUUUCUUUUGUCAAGUUGCUUUACUCCUCUUGUCUACCUUAUUUGAUUCCUGAAAAAACGAAGGAAAGGUGAAGAAAAUUGAUUUUUAAAAAAAAAAAUUUUUUACCUCUUUUAAGUGCAUAAGCUCAACUAUCAAAAGCAUUUACAUAUGAAAUUUAUGUUUGAUGAU